CACAUCUACCGGAAUCGCACGAACGUUCACGGGCUUUUGCGAUUGAAUGAAUCUGUGAUUUGUAGAAGAAAGAAGGUUCCUGGCGAAGUAGGCGUGGAUUUUAUAUCUGGUAACUAUGUCCAGUCGUGAUGGAUCCGAGCGUAAAUUGGAUUGUAAGGUAUAUGUAGGCGAUCUUGGGUACGGGGCAGCCAAACAAGAGUUGGAGGACAUCUUUGUACGCUAUGGUGCUUUAAAGAAUGUUUGGGUUGCACGCAACCCACCUGGUUUUGCUUUUGUUGAGUAUGAAGAUCCCAGGGAUGCGGAAGAUGCUUGCAAAGCUCUAGAUGGGUCGAAAAUGAACGGGAGACGUGUUAGAGUAGAGCUGUCAACUGGAAAGUCUCGCUGGGGUAGUAGAGGCCCUCCUGUACGCAGAAAUCGUGGGGGUGGAUAUGGUGGGGGUAGCAGCUAUGGUGGCUAUGGAGGCAGUCGGCGAGGUAGAUCCAGGGUCUCACUCAACUCUGUCAUCUGACAGACAGCGCCAUCUGCCAACAACACUUAAAUACCUUCGCCAACUUGGCCCCAACAUCAUCUAAACCUACAUCCAACUGCCAGCUGGCUGGCAUCGUCACUGGCUCGCAUCACCAUGCCCACGACCUUUGACACUGCGAUCCGCCCUGCACGGCUCAUAAGCCCCUCGCGAGGCGGUUCACCUCUGACCCCAUCUCCUCAGCUUUUGCUGGAGUCGCCAUUCCCCCGACUGACAUCCGUUUAUUACCACCUUCAAUAUCACCAACUGGAAAUACAUCCGAGUUGUGGACUAUACACAUGUAUAGUCCCUUCUCCGACAAAACAUCUCAGCCCUUCGUAAUCCCCAAUUAUUCUACUCUCUUCGGGUAACUGGCAUCAGUUUAAUCUUGCAUAACCGGUCUGUAGUUGCAGCGUUUCACAUUGUUUAUGGCAGGUCAAGGUCACCCCCUCCACGACGACGACCCCGAAGUUCCAGUGCCAGCAGAAGCAGAUCGGGUUCGCGUGACAGA